rnacentral:rRNA from 1 species
AGCGGGGCCCAUCCCGUAAGGCUAAAUACUCCCGAGAGACCGAUAGCGAACCAGUACUGUGAAGGAAAGGUGAAAAGAACCUCGAACAGAGGAGUGAAACAGACCCUGAAACCAUGCGCCUACAAGCGGUCGGAGCAUGUUAAAAUGUGACGGCGUGCCUUUUGCAUAAUGAACCUACGAGUUACUCUCGCUGGCAAGGUUAAGCGAUUCAGUCGCGCAGCCGAAGCGAAAGCAAGUCCGAACAAGGCGUACAGUCAGCGGGAGUAGACGCGAAACCAAGUGAUCUACCCUUGGUCAGGUUGAAGGUUGGGUAACACCAACUGGAGGACCGCACCGAUAAGCGUUGAAAAGCUUACGGAUGAACUGAGGGUAGGAGUGAAAGGCCAAUCAAACUUGGAGAUAGCUCGUACUCCCCGAAAUGCAUUUAGGUGCAGCCUCGAAGCAGAGUGAUAGAGGUAGAGCGACUGAUAAGAUGCGAGGGCUUCACCGCCUAUCAAGUCUUGACAAACUCCGAAUACUAUCACUUGAUCUUCGGGAGUGAGGGCAUGGGUGCUAAGGUCCAUGUCCGAAAGAGGAACAACUCAGACCACCAGCUAAGGUCCCGAAAUAAGGGCUAAGUUGAAUAAACGAAGUAAAACUGCAAAGACAGCUAGGAUGUUGGCUUGGAAGCAGCCAUUCAUUUAAAGAGUGCGUAACAGCUCACUAGUCGAGGAGUUUUGCAUGGAUAAUAAUCGGGCAUAAGCCCUUUACCGAAGCUGUGGAUGUCGUAAGACAUGGUAGGGGAGCAUUCCGGCGGCGACGAAGGCCGUCCUCGAGGACGACUGGAGCUUUCGGAAAAGCAAAUGUAGGUAUAAGUAACGAUAAAGGGGGCGCGAAACCCCCUCGCCAUAAGACUAAGGAUUCCUGAUCAACGCUAAUCGGAUCAGGGUAAGUCGGGCCCUAAGGCGCAGCCGAACGGCGUAGCCGAUGGAAGAAACGGUAAAGAUUCCGUUACUGGAUAUAGGAGCGAUGUGGAGACGGAGAAGUGACACACCCGCCUGCCGACGGAAGCGCAGGUUAAAGGAAGUAGGUAGACGCCGGGUAGGCAAAUCCGCCUGGCGUGCCGAAGCUGACAGUAUCGAGAGCCCCCGGGCAAUCGAAUAGCGGUGGUAAUCAGGCUCCCAAGAAAAUCCGCUAAGCAUAUUCUAUAUUCACCCGUACCCCAAACGGACACACGUAGUCGGGUAGAAUAUACCAAGGCGCUCGAAAGACUCACGGUUAAGGAACUAGGCAAAUUGACCCUGUAACCUCGGGAAAAAGGGUCCCCAGUAAGAUGGGGCGCAGAGAAUAGGUCCAGGCAACUGUUUAACAAAAACACAGGGCUGUGCAAAAUUUAGAGAUGAAGUAUACAGCCUGACACCUGCCCGGUGCCGGAAGGUUAAGAGGAGAGCUAAUCGCAAGAGAAGGCUUGAAUUGAAGCCCCGGUAAACGGCGGCCGUAACUAUAACGGUCCUAAGGUAGCGAAAUUCCUUGUCGG